rnacentral:rRNA from 1 species
UACAGAGGGUGCGAGCGUUGUUCGGAAUUAUUGGGCGUAAAGGGCGCGUAGGCGGUGCGGUAAGUCACCUGUGAAAUCUCCUGGCUCAACUGGGAGCUUGCAGGCGAAACUGCCGUGCUGGAGUGUGGGAGAGGUGAGUGGAAUUCCCGGUGUAGCGGUGAAAUGCGUAGAUAUCGGAAGGAACACCUGUGGCGAAAGCGGCUCACUGGACCAUUACUGACGCUGAGGCACGAAAGCUAGGGGAGCAAACAGG